UACGUAGGGGGCAAGCGUUGUCCGGAAUCAUUGGGCGUAAAGCGCGCGUAGGCGGCCCGGUAAGUCCGCUGUAAAAGUCAAAGGCUCAACCUUUGAAUGUCAGUGGAUACUGCCGGGCUAGAGUCCGGAAGAGGCGAGUGGAACUCCUGGUGUAGCGGUGGAAUGCGCAGAUAUCAGGAAGAACACCCAUGGCGAAAGCAGCUCUCUGGGACGGUACUGACGCUGAGACGCGAAAGCGUGGGAGCAAACAGG
rnacentral:rRNA from 1 species